rnacentral:rRNA from 1 species
CGUUCCCUCUGGCGGUAGGCCUAACACAUGCAAGUCGAACGGAAGCACAGUAAGAGCUUGCUCUUACGGGAGGCGAGUGGCGGACGGGUGAGGAAUACAUCGGAAUCUACUUUUUCGUGGGGGAUAACGUAGGGAAACUUACGCUAAUACCGCAUACGACCUACGGGUGAAAGCAGGGGAUCUUCGGACCUUGCGCGAUUGAAUGAGCCGAUGUCGGAUUAGCUAGUUGGCGGGGUAAAGGCCCACCAAGGCGACGAUCCGUAGCUGGUCUGAGAGGAUGAUCAGCCACACUGGAACUGAGACACGGUCCAGACUCCUACGGGAGGCAGCAGUGGGGAAUAUUGGACAAUGGGCGCAAGCCUGAUCCAGCCAUACCGCGUGGGUGAUGAAGGCCUUCGGGUUGUAAAGCCCUUUUGUUGGGAAAGAAAAGCAGCAGGUUAAUAUCUCGCUGUUCUGACGGUACCCAAAGAAUAAGCACCGGCUAACUUCGUG